CUCCCUCCUCCGUCCGCGGCCGCUGAAGCCAGUUCGCGUCGACUGACCAGAGUCCGCGAAUCGUCCGCUCCGGACCUCCAGACCUCCCCAACCUCAGCUUUCUGACCUGUGAAAACACUUAAGAAUCAUGUCUCUGCAUCAGUUUCUGCUGGAGCCAAUCACCUGCCAUGCCUGGAACAGGGAUCGUACCCAGAUCGCCCUGAGCCCCAAUAACCAUGAAGUGCACAUCUAUAAGAAGAAUGGGAGUCAGUGGACGAAAGCGCAUGAGCUGAAGGAGCAUAACGGACAUAUCACAGGUAUUGACUGGGCUCCUAAGAGCGACCGUAUUGUCACUUGUGGGGCAGACCGCAACGCCUAUGUCUGGAGUCAGAAAGAUGGCAUCUGGAAGCCCACCCUGGUGAUCCUGAGGAUUAACCGUGCAGCCACUUUUGUGAAGUGGUCCCCACUUGAGAACAAGUUUGCUGUGGGGAGGGGAGCCCGGCUCAUCUCUGUCUGUUACUUUGAGUCUGAGAAUGACGGGUGGGUGAGCAAGCACAUUAAGAAGCCAAUUCGCUCCACGGUCCUCAGCUUGGACUGGCAUCCCAACAAUGUGUUGCUGGCUGCAGGCUCCUGUGACUUCAAAUGCAGAGUGUUCUCUGCCUAUAUCAAAGAGGUGGAUGAGAAGCCAGCCAGCACGCUCUGGGGCAGCAAAAUGCCUUUUGGUCAGCUGAUGUCUGAGUUUGGUGGCAGUGGCACCGGCGGCUGGGUGCAUGGGGUCAGUUUCUCUGCCAGUGGGAGCCGCCUGGCCUGGGUCAGCCACGACAGCACAGUGUCUAUUGCUGAUGCCUCAAAAAGCGUGCAGGUUUCGACUCUGAGAACAGAGUUCCUGCCGCUGCUCAGUGUGUCAUUUGUCUCAGAGAACAGCGUGGUGGCUGCCGGCCAUGACUGCUGCCCGAUGCUUUUUAACUACGAUGACCGUGGCUGUUUGACCUUCGUGUCCAAACUGGAUGUCCCAAAACAGAGCAUCCAGCGCAACAUGUCUGCUAUGGAACGCUUCCGUAACAUGGACAAGAGGGCCACUACUGAGGACCGCAACACAGCCUUGGAAACACUGCACCAGAACAGCAUCACUCAAGUGUCUAUUUAUGAAGUGGACAAGCAAGAUUGUCGCAAAUUUUGCACUACUGGCAUUGAUGGAGCCAUGACAAUUUGGGAUUUCAAGACCCUAGAGUCUUCCAUCCAGGGUCUCCGGAUAAUGUGAAGCCGAGCGAGCCUCUGGCAUCCAGCAUGAGGAACAGGACUGAGCGCCUCUGCUGUUCACGUGCUGGUGAGGAUCGCUGGCCCAGGGAAACACUGUCACACUGAAGCAACUAGCGUGUGUUCCUGUGGAUGUCGUGGGUGACGUGUGGCAUUUAGAGACAGCAGUGGUUCGUUUUGAUUUUUCUUUCAUUUUGUUUUGUUUUGAUUUUGCUAUCUCAUUCCAUUUUUGACCAAAGCUUCUCUUUAAGUAGUUUAUUAUGGAAGAUUGUCACACUAACUUAAAGGGGAAGGGAAGUAUGUACAUUGUGUGCUAAAAAAAAAUUAAAGAAAAAUCCCAAGUGUG